rfam:Salmo salar isolate Sally breed double haploid chromosome ssa13, whole genome shotgun sequence.
UGUUUCUAUGAUUGUAAGUCGCUUUGGGUAAAAGCGUGUGCUAAAUGCCAUUAU